AUACGGAGGAUCCGAGCGUUAUCCGGAUUUAUUGGGUUUAAAGGGUGCGCAGGCGGGAGAUUAAGUCGGCAGUGAAAUUUUGCAGCUCAACUGUAAAAGUGCCUUCGAAACUGGUUUCCUUGAGUGUAGAUGAAGUAGGCGGAAUUUGUGGUGUAGCGGUGAAAUGCAUAGAUAUUACGAGGAACUCCGAUUGCGCAGGCAGCUUACUAAACUACUACUGACGCUCAGGCACGAAGGCGUGGGGAUCAAACAGGAUUAGAUACCCUGGUAGUCCACGCAGUAAACGAUGAUUACUAGCUGUUUGCGAUACAAUGUAAGCGGCUGAGCGAAAGCGUUAAGUAAUCCACCUGGGGAGUACGUUCGCAAGAAUGAAACUCAAAUGAAUUGACGGGG
rnacentral:rRNA from 1 species